UGGGGAAUAUUGCGCAAUGGGGGGAACCCUGACGCAGCCAUGCCGCGUGAAUGAAGAAGGCCUUAGGGUUGUAAAGUUCUUUCGGUAUUGAGGAAGGUUGAUGUGUUAAUAGCACAUCAAAUUGACGUUAAAUACAGAAGAAGCACCGGCUAACUCCGUGCCAGCAGCCGCGGUAAUACGGAGGGUGCGAGCGUUAAUCGGAAUAACUGGGCGUAAAGGGCACGCAGGCGGUUAUUUAAGUGAGGUGUGAAAGCCCCGGGCUUAACCUGGGAAUUGCAUUUCAGACUGGGUAACUAGAGUACUUUAGGGAGGGGUAGAAUUCCACGUGUAGCGGUGGAAUGCGUAGAGAUGUGGAGGAAUACCGAAGGCGAAGGCAGCCCCUUGGGAAUGUACUGACGCUCAUGUGCGAAAGCGUGGGGAGCAAACAGGAUUAGAUACCCUGGUAGUCCACGCUGUAAACGCUGUCGAUUUGGGGGUUGGGGUUUAACUCUGGCGCCCGUAGCUAACGUGAUAAAUCGACCGCCUGGGGAGUACGGCCGCAAGGUUA
rnacentral:rRNA from 1 species